AGUGAACGCUGGCGGUAGGCCCAACACAUGCAAGUCGAACGGCAGCACAGUAAGAGCUUGCUCUUACGGGUGGCGAGUGGCGGACGGGUGAGGAAUACAUCGGAAUCUACUUUUUCGUGGGGGAUAACGUAGGGAAACUUACGCUAAUACCGCAUACGACCUACGGGUGAAAGCAGGGGAUCUUCGGACCUUGCGCGAUUGAAUGAGCCGAUGUCGGAUUAGCUAGUUGGCGGGGUAAAGGCCCACCAAGGCGACGAUCCGUAGCUGGUCUGAGAGGAUGAUCAGCCACACUGGAACUGAGACACGGUCCAGACUCCUACGGGAGGCAGCAGUGGGGAAUAUUGGACAAUGGGCGCAAGCCUGAUGCAGCCAUACCGCGUGAGUGAAGAAGGCCUUCGGGUUGUAAAGCCCUUUUGUUGGGAAAGAAAAGCAGCAGGUUAAUACCCCGCUGUUCUGACGGUACCCAAAGAAUAAGCACCGGCUAACUUCGUG
rnacentral:rRNA from 1 species